GCGUACCUCUUGCAUAAUGGGUCUGUGACUUAGUGUAUCGAGCAAGCUUAAGCCGUUAGGUGUAGGCGCAGCGAAAGCGAGUCUGAACAGGGCGUUUGAGUUCGAUGCAUUAGACCCGAAACCCGGCGAUCUAGGCAUGACCAGGCUGAAGGUGCGGUAACACGCACUGGAGGGCCGAACCGUUUAAUGUUGAAAAAUUAUCGGAUGAGUUGUGUUUAGGGGUGAAAGGCCAAUCAAGCCGGGAAAUAGCUGGUUCUCCGCGAAAUCUAUUGAGGUAGAGCGUCGGAUGAUUGCCGUUGGGGGUAGAGCACUGGAUGGUUGCGGGGGUCGCGAGAUCUACCAAUACUAACCAAACUCCGAAUACCAACGAGUCUAGUCCGGCAGACAGACGGCGGGUGCUAAGGUCCGUCGUCAAAAGGGAAACAGCCCUAACCUACAGCUAAGGUCCCCAAGUCACGUCUAAGUGGGAAAGCAUGUGGGAUUUCCAAAACAACCAGGAGGUUGGCUUAGAAGCAGCCAUCCUUUAAAGAAAGCGUAACAGCUCACUGGUCUAAACAAGAGAUCCUGCGGCGAAGAUGUAACGGGGCUCAAGACGUGCACCGAAGCUUAGGGUUCAGCACUUUGUGCUGAGCGGUAGCGGAGCGUUCCGUAGGCCGUUGAAGCGGAAGGGUAACCGACCGUGGAGGUAUCGGAAGUGCGAAUGCAGACAUGAGUAGCGAUUAAGAGGGUGAGAUGCCCUCUCGCCGAAAUUCCAAGGGUUCCUGCUUAAAGCUAAUCUGAGCAGGGUAAGCCGGCCCCUAAGACGAGCCCGAAGGGGGUAGUCGAUGGGAACCACGUUAAUAUUCGUGGGCCUGGAGGUGUGUGACGGAUGGUGCAACUUGUCUGGCCUUAUUGGAUUGGUCCAGGCAGGGAAACUGUCCCAGGAAAUAGCCCCUCCGUAUAGACCGUACCCUAAACCGACACAGGUGGAAUGGUAGAGUAUACCAAGGCGUUUGAGAGAAGUAUCCUGAAGGAACUCGGCAAAUUGCCUCCGUACCUUCGGAAGAAGGAGGCCCCAUCUAAGCGCAAGCUCUGAUGGGGGGCACAGGCCAGGGGGUAGCGACUGUUUAGCAAAAACACAGGGCUCUGCUAAGUCGGCUUCAAGACGACGUAUAGGGCCUGACGCCUGCCCGGUGCCUGAAGGUUAAGAGGAGGAGUGCAAGCUCUGAAUUGAAGCCCAGGUAAACGGCGGCCGUAACUAUAACGGUCCUAAGGUAGCGAAAUUCCUUGUCGGGUAAGUUCCGACCUGCACGAAUGGCGUAACGACUUCCCCACUGUCUCCAGGAUAUGCUCAGCGAAAUUGAAUUCUCCGUGAAGAUGCGGAGUACCCGCGGUUAGACGGAAAGACCCCGUGCACCUUUACUGCAGCUUCAGAGUGGCAUUAGGAAAGAACUGUGUAGCAUAGGUGGGAGGCUUUGAAGCCGGGACGCCAGUUCCGGUGGAGCCAUAGGUGAAAUACCACCCUGUUGUUUUCUGAUGUCUAACCUCGCACCGUCAUCCGGUGCAGGGACCCUCUGUGGCGGGUAGUUUGACUGGGGCGGUCGCCUCCUAAAGAGUAACGGAGGCGCGCGAUGGUGGGCUCAGGACGGUUGGAAACCGUCUGUUAGAGUGCAAUGGCAUAAGCCCGCCUGACUGCGAGACUGACAAGUCGAGCAGAGACGAAAGUCGGUCAUAGUGAUCCGGUGGUCCCUCGUGGAAGGGCCAUCGCUCAACGGAUAAAAGGUACGCCGGGGAUAACAGGCUGAUGAUUCCCAAGAGCUCAUAUCGACGGAAUCGUUUGGCACCUCGAUGUCGGCUCAUCACAUCCUGGGGCUGGAGCAGGUCCCAAGGGUUUGGCUGUUCGCCAAUUAAAGUGGUACGUGAGCUGGGUUCAGAACGUCGCGAGACAGUUUGGUCCCUAUCUGCCGUGGGCGUCGAAAUUUGAGAGGAGUUGACCCUAGUACGAGAGGACCGGGUUGAACAUGCCUCUGGUGUACCUGUCGUCCUGCCAAGGGCGCAGCAGGGUAGCUAUGCAUGGACGGGAUAACCGCUGAAAGCAUCUAAGCGGGAAGCCUCCCUCAAGAUAAGAUUUCUUCGAGCGGUCGUAGACCACGACCUUGAUAGGCCGGAUGUGGAAGUGCGGUAACGCAUGGAGCUAACCGGUCCUAAUUGCUCUGUUCGCGCUUGAAUGCU
rnacentral:rRNA from 1 species